GAACAAGAGCAGAAUGUGAAUGUAUGAAGUAUGACGAAGACUUGGAGUUGACAACAUCCAAAAAGGUUUUUGGCAUUUUGGGAGUGGUAUAUAAGAUUAGAUUAGCUAUCGAGAAUGGAAAGCCUCCGUUCAGGUCUUCUUCCUCGUUUUCAGCCCUCUGUUUCCACCAAUUUCACUCUCGGGUCCGCUUCAUUUCUCAACCCUAGCUAGUCAUUUUGUGUUUUUUGGUUCCCUUAUUUUAAUCUAUUCACUCACAACUCACAAGCACGUUUUCAGGCAACCAUCACUUCGCUGAAUCUUUGCUUCCCUUUGUUAAUUUUAGAUAACAAUAACUAAUAAGACAUAUUUUGGAUCAGUAGUGAUGGAUGAUCUUGAAAAGGCAAUACUGAUAAGUUUUGAUGAAUCUGGAAGCGUUGAUUCGGCGUUGAAAUCACAAGCAGUUGCUUUUUGUCAGCAAAUCAAAGCUUCUCCGUCAAUUUGUAGCUUAUGUAUAGAGCGUUUGUGCAUAUCGAAUCUUGUUCAAGUCCAGUUUUGGUUCUUGCAAUGCCUGCAUGAGGCUCUUCGUGUUAGGUACUCUUCCAUGAGUCCGGAGGAGAAGUCGUUUAUUAGGAAAUCAGUGUUCUUGAUGGCUUGUUACGAGAGCAUUGAUGGGAAGAGCUCAGUGAGGGUUCUGGAUGCUCCGGCAUUUGUAAAGAAUAAGCUUGCUCAAGUCGUGGUUACUUUAAUUUAUUUUGAGUAUCCAGAAACUUGGCCAUCCGUGUUUCUCCAGUUUUUACCGAAUUUAGGUAAAGGUGCUUUGAUUAUUGAUAUGUUCUGUAGAGUUUUAAAUGUGCUGGAUGAUGAAUUAAUUAGUUUGGACUACCCAAGGAGCCAAGAGGAGCUCGCUGUUGCAGGGAGAGUUAAGGAUGCAAUGAGGCAGCAAUGCAUUGGUCAGAUUGUUGGGGCUUGGUACGAAAUUGUGUCGAUCUAUAAGAACUCUGAUUUUGAUUUGUGCACUACUGUUUUAGAUUCCACGAAGCGGUAUGUCUCUUGGAUUGACAUUGGGUUGAUUGCAAAUGAUUCAUUUAUUGGGCUGUUAUUUGAGUUGAUAUUGGCCAAUGGCCUGCCUGAUCAGCUCAGAGCUGGUGCAGCUGAUUGUGUCCAUGCAGUGGUUUCAAAACGCAUGGAUCCAAAAGCCAAGCUCAUGCUCUUGCAAAAUCUUCAAAUAAGAAGGGUUUUUGGUUUAGUAGCUGCUGAUAAUGACUCUGAACUCGUAUCAAGCAUAGCUUCUUUGCUUACUGGGUGUGCCAUUGAGGGCUUGGAAUGCUUCAAACAAUUGAACUUGGAGGACAGCCGGGCAGUCUCUAUGGAGGUGCUGAAUGAGAUUUUGCCCUCGGUGUUUUAUGUAAUGCAAAAUUCUGUUAUUGAUGAAACAUCAAGCAUUUUGCAGUUCCUUUCAGGUUAUGUUGGCACAAUGAAGAGUCUUUCUUCAUUGACAGAAAAUCAGCUAUAUCAUGUAGGUCAGAUGUUGGAAGUCAUCCGUUCCCAGAUUCGGUUUGAUCCCAGUUACCGUAGUAACCUGGAUGUUUUAGACAGAAUUGGAAAGGAAGAAGAAGAUCGGAUGCUUGAGUUUCGGAAGGAUUUAUUUGUUCUACUCCGCAGUGUAGGACGUGUUGCUCCCCAUGUUACUCAAACUUUUAUCAGGAACUCCAUAGCUAGUGCUAUUGCACCUACUGCAGAGAAAAAUGCCGAGGAGAUAGAGGCUGCGCUUUCCCUAUUUUAUGCACUUGGGGAAUCAGUAAACAAUGAUAUGAUGAGUACAGGAAGUGCUUUUCUGGAUGAACUAGUGGCAAUGCUCUUAUCAACAAAGUUUCCUUGCCACUCUAAUAGACUUGUUGCACUGGUAUAUUUGGAGACAAUUACAAGGUAUAUGAAGUUUGUGCAGGAGAAUACACAAUAUAUUCCCCUAAUUCUGGGUGUUUUUCUUGAUGAAAGAGGCAUACACCAUCCAAAUAUCCACGUGAAACAAAGGGCAAGUUAUCUUUUCAUGAAGGUUGUGAAAUUACUUAAAGCAAAACUUGUCCCAUACAUAGAGACCAUUUUGCAGAGGCUGCAAGAUAUGGUUGCUCAAUUUACAACUAUGUAUUGUACUUCUGAGGAACAUUCAUGUUCUGAAGAUGGUAUUCACAUUUUUGAGGCAAUAGGCUUAUUGAUAGGAAUGGAAGAUGUGCCACUUGAAAGGCAAUCCGAGUAUCUUUCUGCAUUGCUUACUCCUCUUUGCCAGCAGGUGGAAACAUUGCUCUUGAAUGCCAAUUGGGAAGAGUCUCCUUUAAAGAUCACUAAUAUACAGCAGAUAGUAAUGGCCAUUAAUGCUCUCAGCAAGGGGUUUAGUGAGCGUCUUGUGACUGCCAGUCGUCCUGGAAUUGGUCUUAUGUUUAAGAAGACAUUGGAUGUCAUGCUGCAGAUUCUUGUUGUAUUUCCAAAGAAAGAGCCACUGCGAUCUAAGGUCAUAUCGUUAAUUCAUCGUAUGGUGGACACUUUAGGAGCAUCUGUAUUUCCAUAUCUUCCAAAGGCAUUGGGGCCAUUGCUUGCAGAAAGUGAGCCAAAGGAAGUGGUUAGCUUUCUAGUGUUGCUUAAUCAGCUCAUCUGCAAAUUCAACACUGCCAUAAGUGACAUGUUGGAGCAAGUUUACCCUCCCAUUGCUGGUAGGAUAUUCAGUAUUCUUCCUAGAGAUGCUUUUCCAUCAGGACCUGGUUGCAACACUGAGGAAAUCCGUGAAUUACAAGAGCUUCAACGAAUGUUCUACACCUUUCUUCAUGUCAUUGCCACCCAUGAGCUAUCAUCAGUUUUCCUUUCCCCCCAAAGCCAGGUGUACUUAGAUCCGAUGGUGCAGAUGCUGUUAAAUGGUUGCUGUAAUCAUAAGGAUAUUUUGGUCCGGAAGGCCUGCAUACAAAUAUUUAUCAGACUAAUAAAAGAUUGGUGCGCCUAUGGUGAAGAGAAGGUGCCUGGUUUCCAAAGUUUUGUGAUCGAGACAUUUGCAACAAACUGUUGUAUUCGCAGUGUUCUUGAUGAAUCAUUUGAGUUUCGUGAUGCAAAUAUGCUUAUUUUAUUUGGCGAAAUAGUGCUGGCUCAGAAGGUUAUGUAUGAGAAAUUUGGCAACGAUUUUCUCAUUCAUUUUGUAUCUAAAGGUUUGCCCAGUGCUAAUUGCCCUCAAGAUUUGGCCGAGCAGUACUGUCAGAAACUACAGGGCAAUGACAUGAAGGCACUAAAAUCAUUCUACCAAUUGCUCAUUGAAAAGUUGAGACAUCAGCGCAAUGACAGCACGGUUUUCAGAUAGCAUUUUCAGAACGUAAUAGUUUGGUCUCUGAUGUUUAUCCAGUUGAGCUCAUUAAACUAUGUUCAUUAUAAACUAUUGCAGGGCACUUUUCUGUAAAUUCUCUUGCUGUCCAUGGAAACCCAGGUAUGUGGGUGAUUUCUAUGUCGCAUAACUAAAGUUUGAUAAUACCCUCUAUCUUUUUUUCUUUUUUUUUUUUCUUUUUUUUUUUUCAUUAAAUAGGUGUAAAUCUGCUGCAGCAAAUUCUUAUUACAAAGAAUGUUAACAUGCUCAGUUUUGGUGGUCCAUUGUGAAAGAUUCAGCUAGAGUGGCUGGCCUUGUAUCAAUCUUACAGCACCCAAAUCCAUAUUGCCAUUAGCCAUUGUGUAAAUCUUUCAAGUAUAUGUAUAUACAUAUUAUCCAUUUGCCCUGCUUACUCAUUCAUUUUAUUAAAAUAUUUUGAUACAUAAAAUGGUACCUCAACUUCUCCUUUGUUUCUAAAUAUCAGUAUCAGACUACUCUCUGUCU